UCCUAACGUCAUGCCAGAUCAUUGCAAUUGGUUCCCGUCGCUUCUGUUCAAUUCCUGAUAGGCUAGGAAGUUUGUUCCUCGAGGUAAUAUUGUGGGUGAGCCCUAUCCUAACCUACCUGCUUGUCCCAACCUUAGCAGCACCUACCUUAUUAUCUCGACAUUCCCCCUCCCACGGAUUCUGCCCUCGUUGCAGCAUUGAAGGAACGUAGCCAUGAUAUAGCAGCUACCCGUCCACUGUACUAGAGAGAGAGA